GUGGGGAAUAUUGGACAAUGGGGGGAACCCUGAUCCAACCAUGCCGCGUGUGUGAAGAAGGCCUUUUGGUUGUAAAGCACUUUAAGCGAGGAGGAGGCUACCGAGAUUAAUACUCUUGGAUAGUGGACGUUACUCGCAGAAUAAGCACCGGCUAACUCUGUGCCAGCAGCCGCGGUAAUACAGAGGGUGCAAGCGUUAAUCGGAUUUACUGGGCGUAAAGCGCGCGUAGGUGGCCAAUUAAGUCAAAUGGGAAAUCCCCGAGCUUAACUUGGGAAUUGCAUUCGAUACUGGUUGGCUCGAGUAUGGGAGAGGAUGGUAGAAUUCCAGGUGUAGCGGUGAAAUGCGUAGAGAUCUGGAGGAAUACCGAUGGCGAAGGCAGCCAUCUGGCCUAAUACUGACACUGAGGUGCGAAAGCAUGGGGAGCAAACAGGAUUAGAUACCCUGGUAGUCC
rnacentral:rRNA from 1 species